UUUUUGUGGAUGGAUUCUCACGCUAUAUUGAUUAGAGUCAAGCAGCACAAGUGGUCAAUACUUGCUUUUAUAUGCGGCGUAAUCCUGACCAUAGUGAUAGUUGUUCCCGUAAUGUUAUCAAAGUCCUCGGGUAAGGGUUUAUUAUUACCAUUUUUCUGUAUACAUUUUUUAUCCAGAAACAUGCACAGUGCCUUAUCUUCCAUACUCUCUCAAUUCGAAAAAAGGUCAAUUGCUGUAUGUGACAACGAAAAUAUAUCACAGCACAGAUCUCUGUUUUCCCUAUCUUGAAAAGAUUAAUAUAAAUAUAUAACAGGAGAAGAUUAUUCUCUGAAGCUCCUGGUCUCGCGCCCUUUUGUGUUCAUUCACCCUCCUGGCUUUGUAUAUUGUUAAUCGAUUUAAAUAACAUUUAACUACUGUUGCCUGCAACAUGUGUAAUAAAACAGCAAAACUUGUCAUAGGAUUUUUGAGAGGUAUACGUCCUAAACGUAAAGAACUUUGUUUCAACACCAUACAAAUGGCAUGGAAAACUUAAAUCAAGGAUAUACUUAUGUGAGGUUUUGAAAUUUGUGUCAAAUGUUCGGACACCGUGGAGUAUUUUCUAAGUAAAAGGGUAAAAUAUUUGCCCCAUAACACCCAUUUUGCUUUUCAUACCAGAAUUACCAGACAAUAGCUCAUAAAAGGUCAUUCACCAAAAUUUGGACAAUUUCUUGAUUACUUUUAUUCGAUUUGAGACCCAAAUAAUAUCAAUGAAAACAUACGGUAAAAGUCCGUGUCAAUAUAUAUUGCAGACUGAAAUUAUAAUUGAUCUAUGAAGACACUUUUUGCGGAACCAUUGCUCUAAGAAAGUUUUUAAAUUGCGACCAAGGUUCAGGACGUAGUCAUUUCCAAAACUUUUAUUAUUUGUCGCCUAUGCACAGGUUGUCAAUGUAUAUAGUUCGGUUCGUUAGAUAUUUUUCUUUGAUAUGACGUACCUAUUUAUGUUUAAACAUUCACUCCCUUUAAAAUGUGUAAUUUCUUCCUUUGUGUUUGACCACCUAUGUUGUUCAGUCAUUUGAAUGUCGUCGUGAUCUUAAUAAAAACAUAGAACUAUUGCAUAUACAGACCAUUCUACAUCGAAAUUUGUUUUACAUGCACACGUAUAGAAAUUGCGGUUUUUAUCCAACCCAAUCAUAGGUUUGAACGUAGUUUUCAAAUUAGACUCGCAUAUAUAUAUAUAUAAAAUAUACAACUCGUCUAAACAUCAACCCAACAAUGUUAGAUCUGUAAAUUUGCUUUCGAAAGCAAAUUUACAGAUCUAACAUUGUUGGGUUGAUGUUUAUACGAGUUGUAUAUACAUUAUAUACACAGCCAUGUAUCACCAUCAUUGAUGGCGAUCCGAUGGAUACAUCUGUUGUAGGGUUGUCACUGACUCAGACGUACUUAUAUAUAUAAAUAUAUAUACAUUGUUGGGUUGGUGUUAAGACGAUUUUUUAAAAAUAUAUAUACAAUGGAGAGUUGUCUCAUUGGCAUUCACACCACAUCUUCCUAUAUCUAUAUAUAUAAACGAGUCUUAAUUGAAAACUACGUUUAAACCUAUGAUUGCGUUGGAUAAAAACCGCAAUUUUUAUACGUGUGCAUGUGAAACAAAUUUCGUUGUAGAAGGGCAUAAAAACAGCACAAACAACAUUUUCCAAAAAGACCAAAAAAGUGAAAAAAGUAUAUUUAAACAGAACACAUUUGACUAACAGGUCGAACAACUGAUGUUCUUUAACCCUGCUGACUGCGAUUGGCGAUUGCAAAAUGAAAUUGAUCACAAGAUGUAACAAAAUGGAUCUUAAUAUAAAUUUAAUACUAAACAGAAUUUAUUUUUACUUGUGGCCACGAUAUAUAUAUAUAUAUAUAUAAUAAAAACUAUAACACAAAUUCCCAUACGUUUCGGCCAUUACGGCCUUCUUCAUUGGAAUAAAUUACAACAUUGAAACAACAAUUACAUUGCUUGGAUACAUUACGUUCUAAUAACUUCUAUGACGUUCAUUUGCCGCGUUUUUUGCUUUUUUAAUAUAAAUAUAUUUAUUAUCGUUCAUACAUUGUGUUGAGUCCUUCAGGUUCUAAAGUUUUUAAUUUUUUCAUCCAAAAGGCUUCUUUAGUUUUUCUGUAAAUUUCUGUCCCAAAUACUCUCUCUAUGGCGGUAACUUUCAAAUUUGUCAUUGAAUGAUUGUUCUGAAUGAAAUGGUUGGCUACUGGAUCUUCUGUUUUUUUUGUGCGUAUUUUUGAAAAGUUCAAUAGCAUUCGUUGAUAUAGUGAAUCACCCGUUUGUCCUACAUAUAUAACUUUUUCACAUUUUGUACAAUUAAUCGCAUAUAUCACGCCUACGGUUUUACAAUUUAUUUGUCCCUGAAUGGUAUAUUCUUUGCCGGUGUUGUCACAAAAUACCUUGGUUUCAUUUAUAUGUGAGCAUAAUGCACAAUUUUUACCACAUGGUCCACAUCCAUUAGUUUGUUUAUAAAAUAGUAAAUUAUGCUUUUUGUGCACAAAAAGCAUAAUUUACUAUUUUAUAAACAAACUAAUGGAUGUGGACCAUGUGGUAAAAAUUGUGCAUUAUGCUCACAUAUAAAUGAAACCAAGGUAUUUUGUGACAACACCGGCAAAGAUAUACCAUUCAGGACAAAUAAAUUGUAAAACCGUAGGCGUGAUAUAUGCGAUUAAUUGUACAAAAUGUGAAAAAGUUAUAUAUUGUAGGACAAACGGGUGAUACACUAUAUCAACGAAUGCUAUUGAACUUUUCAAAAAUACGCACAAAAAAAAAAGAAGAUCAGUAGCCAACCAUUUCAUUCAGAACAAUCAUUCAAUGACAAAUUUGAAAGUUACCGCCAUAGAGAGAGUAUUUGGGACAGAAAUUUACAGAAAAACUAAAGAAGCCUUUUGGAUGAAAAAAUUAAAAACUUUAGAACCUGAAGGACUCAACACAAUGUAUGAACGAUAAUAGAUAUAUUUAUAUUAAAAAAGCAAAAAACGCGGCAAAUGAACGUCAUAGAAGUUAUUAUAACGUAAUGUAUCCAAGCAAUGUAAUUGUUGUUUCAAUGUUGUAAUUUAUUCCAAUGAAGAAGGCCGUAAUGGCCGAAACGUAUGGGAAUUUGUGUUAUAGUUUUUAUUAUACAAUCAUUCAGAGACUUUACAUAUAUAUAUAUAUAUAUAUAUAUAUAUUCUAUUGUUUAAACUAUUAUUGUAUUAAACAUCUUUGAGAGGAAGAGUAGUGGUAAAUAAAAACAAAUCAUGAAGUUACACCAGUUAAUGCACAACUAAUAUUUAUAUGAAAUUACAGUUAGCUCUGUUACCUAAUAUAUAUACCUAAGGUAUUGUAAGAAAGGUUUCUAAGAUUGUUUUAUGAAGAAAAGUUGAUACUUAUGUGUACUGAAAUGUACAUAUAUUAUAAAACGGUUGUCGGGUUUUUUGUAUUUCUAUCAAUUGUAUUCAUUUGCAAACGUUUAUUUUAGAUGACAAAACCAAUUACGCAUUUUCGUUGAGUUUUGACAGAAAAUCGACUCAUUCACUAGUUUUCCUGUCUGACGAUAAUACAGUAAUGAGUAAUGCCUUCAGUAAAGAAACUCCGGUUGCUGUAAAUCAUCCACAACAGUUUAACACGUACAAAGGAGCAAUUGGAAAUAAAUGCUUAACUUCAACAAGUAAAAUAUAAUUUGAGAUUAAGUUUUCGUACGAUAUAUUAUCGUCCUUUAA
rnacentral:lncRNA from 1 species